UGGGGGAUAUUGGACAAUGGGGGCAACCCUGAUCCAGCGACGCCGCGUGAGGGAAGAAGGUUUUCGGAUUGUAAACCUCUGUUGACGGAGAAAAAAAUGAUGGUAUCCGUUUAGAAAGCCACGGCUAACUACGUGCCAGCAGCCGCGGUAAUACGUAGGUGGCAAGCGUUGUCCGGAAUUACUGGGUGUAAAGGGAGUGUAGGCGGGAUAUCAAGUCAGAAGUGAAAAUUACGGGCUCAACUCGUAACCUGCUUUUGAAACUGACAUUCUUGAGUGAAGUAGAGGCAAGCGGAAUUCCUAGUGUAGCGGUGAAAUGCGUAGAUAUUAGGAGGAACACCAGUGGCGAAGGCGGCUUGCUGGGCUUUUACUGACGCUGAGGCUCGAAAGCGUGGGGAGCAAACAGG
rnacentral:rRNA from 2 species